CUGUCAUACAGAAGAUGGUAACUUUUCCCCAACCAAAAAGUAAUGGGCUACUGUCGUUAUGCCUGUUCUUGAUACCAACAUAUCAUGUAUAAACGUACGCACAAGAAAGCGAACAUCCCAUUGGUAACUGUAUGUUGAGCACACUGUCCUGCAGCCUUUUUGGUGGAACCUGCUUCCUGCUUCCUUGCUCCAUGAUCCUGCGGCCUGGUACACGAAGUCCAGCUACUUCUGCGAUCUGUGAAGAAAGAAGACAAGCUGUGAACUGAUCCUGCUGCCUUGGUUGACGAAAAUAUUACAUCUCCUACUUACGCAGCUCAUGCAAAGAUGAGAAAAACUGUUAAACAACAAACUGAAUACGUGAAUAUGGAUGAACUGAGAUUCAAGACACCAAGACUACGUUAAUCAUUUUUGUGCAUGUUUGAAUUGGUCCCAAUAAAAUUGAAUGUUUCGGUA